rnacentral:rRNA from 1 species
AUGCAUGCACCCAUGUCCAAGUGCACAGCUUUCUUAUGGAGAAUGAUACUCUUUUUUGGUGAAGUUUUUAGCAUUACAAGUUCAAAACCAAAAAACAAAGAAAUGCUUACAGAUCUUAAACGUGGUGACACAAGUUCAUAUGAAAUGUGGCUGAGGCCGCAAUGGUAUAGUACUCCCUCCGAUCCAUAUUAUUUGCCGCUCAAACGUUUAGAUCCAUAUUACUUGUCACUCAAAUGGAUGUAUCUAGAUUCAUAUCAGUUGUCACUCAAAAGGAUGUAUCAAGUAAUAUGGAUAGGAGGGACUACUUGUUUUGGUUGA